GGGAGUUAUACCAUUACCAUACUUUGGAAAGAAUGCUCUCUAAUGCUAUUGAUUUUGAUCUUUUGAACUCAAGCUCUGAUGCCUGUGUCCAUUGACAACUACCCUGCCUAGUUCUUACAGGAUUCUGAAGUGCUGGAUUAGCAAAUAAGCCCCUGUUUCAAAUUAAUCAGCUUGCCUAUCUGAGACAAAUGUUUUUAUCUUAAUACUCUUAGAAAUGCCACAUUUCAAGCUUUUUUUCCAUAGUUAUACAGUUCAGAACUGCCAACCAUGAGUUCUGCAGAAGUAAAUGGAAGGCUCACCUCAGGAAGCAGAAGCUAUUGUGACAUGGUCAAAUCUGUAUUGCAGGAAGUGCAGUAUAUCUGAACAAUAGCUAUUUGAUUAGGAAAUGUGGGUAGAAAGGAAAGACAGAAAGAAGAGGUACCCUUUGGAAGGCCACUGAGGAUAUCUAGGCUGUAGAUAAUCAUAGUGGAGGUAGAGAAAAUGAAGGAAUUCCCGUGGUGCUUACAUUGUAGAAUUG
rnacentral:lncRNA from 1 species